AUAAUGUUAACAUUUAUCAUUAUUAAAUUAUGUUAUUAAUAUUAUUAUUAAUAUAUAUCUUUCUUGUAUUAUUAUAUAUUUGCAGAGUAGACACCUGAUGAUCUGAUGACUCUCGGCUCAGAUCACAGUGUUUUCUCACUUUAUUUUGGCUUCAGCAGCGAGUCAGUUGGUUCAGACGCCCACGCAGCGACAGAUGACUCAUGUUCAUCAGGAGGAGAGGAGCACAUUAAUACAGGAAGCGUUUUUAAAUUUAGCAGAAUGCUCCUUAAAAACAUUAUUAUUAUUAUAUUUUAAAUCAGUUCUAUCUACUAACUGCUGACGAAGGAUCUGUCCGUCUCCCAGGUGCCUUUCUCCUGACAGAGCAGCAUCCUGGCGGCGGUGAGAUGGAGGCGAAGGACGACGGAAGUCAGAACCAGAUCCAGCCAGAUGCACAUCUGUUGUUUUACACCAGAGGGAGCAAUGCAUUGAACUGGGCUCAGUCUGCGGAGAGAGAAGAAGAAGAACCUUGGCCGCUGGGCGGCGCUGCAGCCUGUAUGACCGGAAGCAGAUACGUUCGCCUUUCCGGUUCCGGUUCGUUCACAGUGUUUUGUUGUGUUUGUGGUCUCCAGAGUCCUCCUUCCGGUCUACCGUCUCAUUGUUAUUUUCUAGCCGCUCAGAUGUAUCGAGCACCGGUCAGACCUCAGCGGAGUCCCGGAGCCCCCCGGCCUGCUGGAAGGUUUCCCUCCCCGGCCUCCUCCUGGGGUUUCCCUGGGGAUCGCUCCCCCUACGGAGGCUCCGGACACCGCGGAGGAUCUCCCCGGGGCUGCCCUGCUUACUCUCCGGUUUCUCCAGUCUACUCUCCGGAUUCUAACCAGGGAUACAGAGACGGCGGCGGUUCCCGGGGAUUCGGUGACUCUCCAUCCGGGUUCGGCGGCGGGUUCGGAGGGCACAUGCGGCACAGAGGAUGUGGUUUCCGGCGGCCUCAGUCCUUCAGUCCCGCCUCAGCUCAAAACUUCCAGUGUGGGGUGGAGAAAUAUUUUAGCCCGUCGAUGCUGCAGGAUCCCUGGGCAGCUCUGCAGCCCGUCGCAGGCACUCAUGCAGCCAGACAGAUAUCCUGACGGGGAACAACAAACAAACAAUGAUAAACAACAACAGACUCAUCAGCCGUAAAGAACAACAGACUCACCCGCAGUAAACAACAACAGAUCCAUCAGCAGUAAACAACAACAGACUCAUCAACAGUAAACAACAACAGACUCAUCCGCAGUAAACAACAACAGAUCCAUCAGCAGUAAACAACAACAGACUCAUCCGCAGUAAACAACAGAUCCAUCAGCAGUAAACAACAGAAUCAUCAGCAGUAAACAACAACAGACUCAUCCGCAGUAAACAACAGAUCCAUCAGCAGUAAACAACAGACUCAUCAACAGUAAACAACAGACUCAUCCGCAGUAAACAACAACAGACUCAUCCGCAGUAAACAACAGAUACAUCAGCAGUAAACAACAGACUCAUCAACAGUAAACAACAACAGACUCAUCAACAGUAAACAACAGAUCCAUCAGCAGUAAACAACAACAGACUCAUCAACAGUAAACAACAGAUCCAUCAGCAGUAAACAACAGAAUCAUCAGCAGUAAACAACAACAGACUCAUCCGCAGUAAACAACAACAGACUCAUCCGCAGUAAACAACAACAGACUCAUCCGCAGUAAACAACAACAGACUCAUCAGCAGUAAACAACAGACUCAUCAACAGUAAACAACAGAUCCAUCAGCAGUAAACAACAGACUCAUCAACAGUAAACAACAGACUCAUCAGCCGUAAACAACAACAGACUCAUCAGCCAUAAACAACAACAACCUUCUGACCACGCUCAGUCACCAGCAGUCUCUCUGGGAUCAAACAUCUCGAUGAACCAACGACGAUGUUUUCAACAAAAUGUUUUUUACAAAAUGAUUUUAACAAAAUGUUUUUUUGCCAGUUAAACAAUCUUUCAUGUUUUAUUUUGAAAGCAAGAGGAAGUGCUUGCCACCUGAUGAUUAUUCAAUAAACUGUUUCCAAUUAACCCUUAAUUAACCUUUUCGCAUCUUAAACUUAGAUAUUCAUAUAUAUAUAUAUAUAUAUAUAUAAUAUCAAUAUAUAUAAGAUAUAUUAUAUAAUACUAUUGAUUAUUACAUUAUUACAUUACAUAUAUUAUAUAUAAUAUCAAUAUCCUCGUCAGUAGGGAUAAGCAUUCACACACACAUCGUUGGCCAUCGGGAGCAAUUUGGGGUUCAGUAUCUUGUCCAAGGACACUUCGACAUGCUGACUGCAGGGGCUGGGAAUCGAUAUAUCUUAUAUAUAUAUAUAAUGUCAAUAUAUAUAA
rnacentral:lncRNA from 1 species